UCCUACGGAGGCAGCAGUGGGGAAUAUUGGACAAUGGGGGCAACCCUGAUCCAGCCAUGCCGCGUGUGUGAAGAAGGCCCUCGGGUUGUAAAGCACUUUCAGCGAGGAAGAACGCCUAGCGGUUAAUACCCGCUAGGAAAGACAUCACUCGCAGAAGAAGCACCGGCUAACUCCGUGCCAGCAGCCGCGGUAAUACGGAGGGUGCAAGCGUUAAUCGGAAUUACUGGGCGUAAAGCGCGCGUAGGUGGCUUGAUAAGCCGGUUGUGAAAGCCCCGGGCUCAACCUGGGAACGGCAUCCGGAACUGUCAAGCUAGAGUGCAGGAGAGGAAGGUAGAAUUCUCGGUGUAGCGGUGAAAUGCGUAGAGAUCGGGAGGAAUACCAGUGGCGAAGGCGGCCUUCUGGACUGACACUGACACUGAGGUGCGAAAGCGUGGGUAGCAAACAGGAUUAGAUACCCUGGUAGUCCACGCCGUAAACGAUGUCGACCAGCCGUUGGGUGCCUAGCGCACUUUGUGGCGAAGUUAACGCGAUAAGUCGACCGCCUGGGGAGUACGGCCGCAAGGUUAAAACUCAAAUGAAUUGACGG
rnacentral:rRNA from 1 species